rnacentral:tRNA from 1 species
UAGAAUAUAGCUAAAUAGAAAAGCAUCUCACUUACACCGAGAAGACAUCCGUGCAAAUCGAAUUAUUCUAA